rnacentral:rRNA from 1 species
UAAGGAAUAUUGGUCAAUGGACGCAAGUCUGAACCAGCCAUGCCGCGUGGAGGAUUAAGGCCCUCUGGGUUGUAAACUCCUUUUAUCUGGGAAGAAAUGUACUUUUUCUUGAGUACUUGACGGUACCAGAGGAAUAAGCACCGGCUAACUCCGUGCCAGCAGCCGCGGUAAUACGGAGGGUGCAAGCGUUAUCCGGAUUCACUGGGUUUAAAGGGUGCGUAGGUGGGCAGGUAAGUCAGUGGUGAAAUCUCCGGGCUUAACCCGGAAACUGCCGUUGAUACUAUUUGUCUUGAAUAUUGUGGAGGUAAGCGGAAUAUGUCAUGUAGCGGUGAAAUGCUUAGAUAUGACAUAGAACACCAAUUGCGAAGGCAGCUUACUACACAAUCAUUGACGCUGAGGCACGAAAGCGUGGGGAUCAAAC